UUAUUACAUGGUUGGCAUUCCAGUGGGCGCAGUUCUUGGCUUUGUAUUCCACUUUGGAGCAAAGGUACAUCACUCUGAAUUUUGCAUUUAUUGUGAUAGGGAACACAUUCCUAUCUUUGAGAACGAUUAUUAGUAAUUUCUUAGGAGGAGCGGUGGAGAUCAGUGUGCGGAUAAUAGUGAUGAGUACUAAUAUUAAAUGAGUGGUUUAAAAUGUUCACCUUUUUUUACCUUUGUUUGAGUCCCAUUCUUUGUAAAAAAAAAAAUGUAUUUUUUAAUAGUAUUUUGACAUUAUUUCAAUUACACAUUCUUUGAUAAAAUAAUAUUACAAGCAAAUUUAAUUUUUAUUUUUUAUUUUUUAAUAACACAUUUUCCAUCAAUAUUCUGUUCAAAAAUUUAAUUUUCCCCCACAAUGGGGCUUAAACAAGGGCUAAAAUUUGUUUGUUUGAUAAGGAUUUUGAUAAUUGAUUUUUUGACCGUUAGAGAUAAAGUGGGUCCUAUCUGUGAGAGAAUAAUUCAAAAAUGAUGGUUGGAAUAGUGAAAUAACGGACAAAAAAUUGAUAUUAAUUGACUUAAUAGUUAUACCAAACAAGCUAAUGUUUUCGACCGAGGUUUUUAAAAAUUUCUUUAAAAUUAGGUAUCAUAAAUAAUUUGUUGAUUUACUAGGAUUUCACUAAUAAAGGAUUUCAACCUUAAAAAUACAUUUAAGUUUUGAAAUUUCACAAUUUUUAAUGGGAUUAUGUGUGAACCUACUCAAAUUCAAGAAAUUCGUUAGAAUUUAUACUUUUUUAAAAUCCAUUAAAAUCUGAGUUGAUGACGACCCUUAAAUGCAUGUGACAUAAUGGGAAACAAAUACCUCUGCCUUGACUCUUUAACAAAAUUUUCAGAACAUUUUUAAUUUUAUUUUUAAAAUCUUGUUUUAAUUGUGAGUUGCAGGGAAUAUGGUUAGGCAUGCUGGGAGGCACUGUCCUGCAGACCAUAAUCUUAUUAUGGGUCACGAUUCGGACUGACUGGAAAAAGGAGGUACCUAUUUCACAUUGUUUUAUAUUUUAUAUUAACCAUUAAGAUUUUAGUACCUUAGAGUGUAAUUAUAUUUGAAUUUUCACUAUAAAUAUUUACAUUUAGUUAAAAUAAGAUAAGAAAUUUGUGGAGAGCAAAGAGAACCAAUCCGAGUCUUCUUGCCAAUUCUCAAUUUAAUCGAACACUUCGUGUAACUUUCAGGUGCAGAACGCGCAGCGUCGGUUACAAAAAUGGGAAGACUCGAAGGAACAAAGUCGCCUGAAUAAUUAGUUAGCUAUCACAUUUUGCCUCCAAUAACUAUUGCCAUUAUGUAUUUUGUUUCUCUCAUUUAUAAGGCGAUAAAAACCAUGUCUAUUUAAAUUAUUUGAUAUACUUCCUUACUUAAAAGGAAGCUUUAGUUUAUUUUGGAUUUGAUUUCUACUUAGUCUUCUAAGGCUUUGUUGCUUGUUAAUUACUUAUUUUAGUUAACAAGUAGACAAUAUCAAAAUCGAAUAGAAAUAAUUGGAUGUGUUUCUUCAUCAAAGCUAUAAUAAGUAGAUUAUGUCUUCGUGGAAUCGAUAUCCUUUUAUUACUUGUAUGUAUAUGAUAUCGUCUAGCUGCGGGAUUACUAUGCAAUAGUAUACUUCAAAUUGUUGUAAUGAACGUCUAAGGGAGGAAAUGUUUUACAUGGAAUAUGAAUUCUAGUUAUCUCAAAUUCAAUUUCUUUUAUUGAAAUCAUGUCAAGAUACAAAAUUUUCUAUGUUUAUUUUUUC
rnacentral:lncRNA from 1 species